rnacentral:rRNA from 1 species
CAGUAGCCGCGGUAAUACGAAGGGGGCUAGCGUUGCUCGGAAUAACUGGGCGUAAAGGGCGCGUAGGCGGUUUGUACAGUUGGAUGUGAAAUUCCUGGGCUUAACCUGGGGGCUGCAUUCAAUACGUGCAGGCUUGAGUGGGGAAGAGGGUCGUGGAAUUCCCAGUGUAGAGGUGAAAUUCGUAGAUAUUGGGAAGAACACCGGUGGCGAAGGCGGCGACCUGGUCCUUGACUGACGCUGAGGCGCGAAAGCGUGGGGAGCAAACAGGAUUAGAUACCCGCGUAGUCCCUGUCUCUUAUAC